GCCUGGAUCUUUGGCGACAUGGUCAGCGCGUUUGACUCUUACCCGAGAAUCUGGGGUUCAAUUCCCCGCCUGGGCC